CAGGAGGGUGCGAGCGUUAAUCGGAAUUACUGGGCGUAAAGCGAGUGUAGGUGGCUCAGUUAAGUCACAUGUGAAAUCCCCCGGGCUUAACCUGGGAACUGCAUGUGAUACUGGUGGUGCUAGAAUAUGUGAGAGGGAAGUAGAAUUCCAGGUGUAGCGGUGAAAUGCGUAGAGAUCUGGAGGAAUACCGAUGGCGAAGGCAGCUUCCUGGCAUAAUAUUGACACUGAGAUUCGAAAGCGUGGGUAGCAAACAGGAUU
rnacentral:rRNA from 1 species